rnacentral:rRNA from 1 species
AGAAUCAACGCUGGCGGCGUGCCUAACACAUGCAAGUCGAGCGCGAAAGGGGGGUAACUCCCCAAGUAGAGCGGCGAACGGGUGAGUAACGCGUGGGUAAUCUGCCUCCGAGUGGGGAAUAACAGCGGGAAACUGCUGCUAAUACCGCAUGACAUCGUCGAGCCUUCGGGUUUGACGAUCAAAGCCGGGGACCGCAAGGCCUGGCGCUUGGAGAGGAGCCCGCGUCCGAUUAGCUAGUUGGCGGGGUAACGGCCCACCAAGGCGACGAUC